UGCUCAUUCGUCUAACCGGCAAGACACCGGGUUCUGGCCCCGGCAAUCCAGGUUCAAAUCCUGGGUGAGCAG
rfam:Mycobacterium phage Phlei, complete genome.